AGCGAACGCUGGCGGCAGGCCUAACACAUGCAAGUCGAACGAACUCUUCGGAGUUAGUGGCCGACGGGUGAGUAACACGUGGGAACGUGCCUUUUGGUUCGGAAUAACUCAGGGAAACUUGUGCUAAUACCGAAUGUGCCCUUCGGGGGAAAGAUUUAUCGCCAUUAGAGCGGCCCGCGUCUGAUUAGCUAGUUGGUGAGGUAACGGCUCACCAAGGCGACGAUCAGUAGCUGGUCUGAGAGGAUGACCAGCCACACUGGGACUGAGACACGGCCCAGACUCCUACGGGAGGCAGCAGUGGGGAAUCUUGCGCAAUGGGCGAAAGCCUGACGCAGCCAUGCCGCGUGAAUGAUGAAGGUCUUAGGAUUGUAAAAUUCUUUCACCGGGGACGAUAAUGACGGUACCCGGAGAAGAAGCCCCGGCUAACUUCGUG
rnacentral:rRNA from 1 species